rnacentral:tRNA from 1 species
UCCCUGGUGGUUUAGAUGGUAAUGAAUCUGCCUCCAAUGCAGAAGACCCGGGUUCAAUCCCUGGAUGGGGAA